AAUACAAGAUGAGAUUAAAGUCCUCCUUGAGGAGGCAGCAUACCAACAGAACAUUGUCCUUCAGGCAAGUCAAGCUCUGAAUUUGUGUGUUGCCAAUGACAUCACCUUUAAAGGUUCCCGGGAAGAAAUUGAAGCAGAAAAAGUGUUAUUACUUGCAACUGAGCACAGAACAGCAUGUCUAGAUGAGGUCAACAAAUUGAAAACUGGUGGUGCU